CUUAUCGUGAGUUAAGUACUGAAGGAAGCGUGUAUCAAAGUCUUGGCUCGAGGAAUAGAAAUCUGAUACCAAGGCUCUAUAGGUGGAUAAGGCUCCAAAACAAGUCAAAGUCCUAAAGAUGUGCGUAAUCCUAUAGAGUAAAUCGGGCGAGUAAAAGAGGAAAGAUAGUUGU
rfam:Batrachochytrium dendrobatidis JAM81 unplaced genomic scaffold BATDEscaffold_40, whole genome shotgun sequence.